rnacentral:rRNA from 1 species
GGAAACAGGUGCUAAUACCGUAUAACACUAUUUUCCGCAUGGAAGAAAGUUGAAAGGCGCUUUUGCGUCAUUGAUGGAUGGACCCGCGGUGCAUUAGCUAGUUGGUGAGGUAACGGCUCACCAAGGCCACGAUGCAUAGCCGACCUGAGAGGGUGAUCGGCCACACUGGGACUGAGACACGGCCCAGACUCCUACGGGAGGCAGCAGUAGGGAAUCUUCGGCAAUGGACGAAAGUCUGACCGAGCAACGCCGCGUGAGUGAAGAAGGUUUUCGGAUCGUAAAACUCUGUUGUUAGAGAAGAACAAGGAUGAGAGUAAAAUGUUCAUCCCUUGACGGUAUCUAACCAGAAAGCCACGGCUAACUACGUGCCAGCAGCCGCGGUAAUACGUAGGUGGCAAGCGUUGUCCGGAUUUAUUGGGCGUAAAGCGAGCGCAGGCGGUUUCUUAAGUCUGAUGUGAAAGCCCCCGGCUCAACCGGGGAGGGUCAUUGGAAACUGGGAGACUUGAGUGCAGAAGAGGAGAGUGGAAUUCCAUGUGUAGCGGUGAAAUGCGUAGAUAUAUGGAGGAACACCAGUGGCGAAGGCGGCUCUCUGGUCUGUAACUGACGCUGAGGCUCGAAAGCGUGGGGAGCGAACAGGAUUAGAUACCCUGGUAGUCCACGCCGUAAACGAC